rnacentral:rRNA from 1 species
CCCUUAGAUGUUCUGGGCCGCACGCGCGCUACACUGAUGCAUUCAACGAGUCUAAAACCUGGUCUGAUAGGGCUGGGUAAUCUUUUGAAAGUGCAUCGUGAUUGGGAUAGAUGAUUGCAAUUCUUCAUCUUCAACGAGGAAUGCCUAGUAAACGCAAGUCAUCAGCUUGCAUUGAUUACGUCCCUGCCCUUUGUACACACCGCCCGUCGCUCCUACCGAUUGAAUGAUCCGAUGAAUACCAUGGAUUGAGAGUUCGAACAGGUUCUCCUGUUUCAGCAUCUCGAGAAGUGGAGUAAAUCUUAUCAUUUAGAGGAAGGAGAAGUCGUAACA